rnacentral:rRNA from 1 species
CAGAGUAGACCCGAAACCGGGUGAUCUACCCAUGUCCAGGCUGAAGUUGCCGUAAAAGGCAAUGGAGGGCCGAACGCACAUCCGUUGAAAAGGGUGGCGAUGAGGUGUGGGUAGGGGAGAAAUUCCAAUCGAACCCGGAGAUAGCUGGUUCUCCUCGAAAUAGCUUUAGGGCUAGCCUCGACAGAGUCUGAUGGAGGUAGAGCACUGAAUUUCCUAGGGGGCGUCAAAGUCUACCGAAGAAUAUCAAACUCCGAAUGCCAUCAAGAUGCUUGUCGGGAGUCAGACUGCACGAGAUAAGUUGGGUAGUCAAAAGGGAAAGAGCCCAGACCUCCAGCUAAGGUCCCAAAGUGCGUGUUAAGUGGAAAAGGAUGUGGGAUUUCAAAGACAACCAGGAUGUUGGCUCAGAAGCAGCCAUACAUUCAAAGAGUGCGUAAUAGCUCACUGGUCGAGAGGUCCUGCGCCGAAAAUGUCCGGGGCUGAAACACGACACCGAAGCUGAGGAAUUUAACGUCUGUUGAAUUGGUAGAGGAGCAUUGCAUACGCGAGGAAGCAGUACCGUAAGGAGCUGUGGAGUGUAUGGAAGAGAGAAUGCCGGAAUGAGUAGCGAGAUGGAGGUGGGAAUCCUCCAGGCCGAAUAUCCAAGGUUUCCAGAGUAAAGCUGAUCUGCUCUGGGUAAGUCGGGACCUAAGGCGAGGCCGAGAGGCGUAGCCGAUGGACAACAGGUUGAGAUUCCUGUACUGCUGUAUAUCAGAACUGUGGGGACACAGAGGGAAAGCACAGGCGCGGAACGGAAAGCCGCGUGCAAGCGAGGUACCGGACUGGUAGGAAAAACCGCCAGCCAACGGGAAGACGUGAUGCGGACCGAAAUUUAGUAGGGAAGUGUGUGAGCCAGCUGUCAAGAAAAGCCGCUAUUGUGUAUACAGUACCCGUACCGUAAACCGACACAGGUGGAUGAGGAGAGAAUCCUAAGGCCGGCGGAAGAAGUAUUGUCAAGGAACUCGGCAAAAUGACCCUGUAACUUCGGGAGAAAGGGUGCCUCGAAAGAGGCCGCAGAGAAUUGGCCCAAGCAACUGUUUAGCAAAAACACAGGUCUAUGCGAAACCGAAAGGUGAGGUAUAUGGGCUGACGCCUGCCCGGUGCUGGAAGGUUAAGGGGAGAUGUUAGAGCAAUCGAAGCAUCGAACUUAAGCCCCAGUAAACGGCGGCCGUAACUAUAACGGUCCUAAGGUAGCGAAAUUCCUUGUCGGGUAAGUUCCGACCCGCACGAAAGGCGUAAUGAUUUGGGCGCUGUCUCGACAAUACAUCCGGUGAAAUUGAAGUACCAGUGAAGAUGCUGGUUACCCGCGCCAGGACGGAAAGACCCCAUGGAGCUUUACUCCAGCUUGAUACUGGGAUUCGGUAUUGCAUGUACAGGAUAGGUGGGAGGCU